rnacentral:rRNA from 1 species
UUCGCAAUGCCCGAAAGGGUGACGAAGCGACGCCGCGUGUGGGAAGAAGGCCUUCGGGUUGUAAACCACUGUCGGGAGUUAAGAAAUGCAAGGGUGCUAAUAGUAUCCUUGCUUGACUAAGGCUCCGGAGGAAGCCACGGCUAACUCUGUGCCAGCAGCCGCGGUAAUACAGAGGCGGCAAGCGUUGUUCGGAAUUAUUGGGCGUAAAGAGCACGUAGGCGGCUAUGUAAGUCGGUUGUGAAAGCCUUCCGCUCCACGGAAGAACAGCAUCCGAUACUGCAUGGCUUGAGUGCGGGAGGGGAGAGUGGAACUUCUGGUGGAGCGGUGAAAUGCGUAGAUAUCAGAAGGAACGCCGGCGGCGAAAGCGGCUCUCUGGCCCAUAACUGACGCUGAGUGUGCGAAAGCUAGGGGAGCAAACGGGAUUAGAUACCCCGGUAGUCCUAGCCGUAAACGAUGGGCACUAAGUAGAGGGGUUUU